CCUACGGGUGGCAGCAGUGGGGAAUAUUGGACAAUGGGGGUACCCCUGAUCCAGCGACGCCGCGUGAGUGAAGAAGUAUUUCGGUAUGUAAAGCUCUAUCAGCCGGGAAGAAAAUGACGGUACCUGACUAAGAAGCCACGGCUAACGACGGGCCAGCAGCCGCGGGAAUACGUAGGGGACAAGCGUUAUCCGGAUUUACUGGGGUUAAAGGGAGCGUAGACGGUGCAGCAAGUCUGAUGGGAAAAGUCCGGGCCCAAACCCGGGACUGCAUUUGAAACUGUUGGACUGGAGUACAGGAGAGGUAAGCGGAAUUCGUGGUGUAGCGGUGAAAUGCGUAGAUAUUAGGAGGAACACCGGUUGCGAAGGCGGCUUACUGGACUGUAACUGACGUUGAGGCACGAAAGCGUGGGGAGCAAACAGGAUUAGAUACCCGUGUAGUC
rnacentral:rRNA from 1 species